CUAAUAAUAAACAGUCUCUGGUACUCCUUUCUGUGUAUUUUCUAUUUACACAGCCAGGGCUGUGUAUUAACACCAGAUUUUAUUUCAGCGCACACAUAAAAUAGACAGCUAGGUGACCGUGAGGCAAUAAAUAUUAAAUUUGAC